UCAGAAGUGCGAAUGCUGACAUGAGUAGCGAUAAAGGGGGUGAAAGGCCCCCUCGCCGUAAGCCCAAGGUUUCCUACGCAACGUUCAUCGGCGUAGGGUGAGUCGGCCCCUAAGGCGAGGCAGAGAUGCGUAGCUGAUGGGAAGCAGGUUAAUAUUCCUGCACCGUCGUAUGAUGCGAUGGGGGGACGGAUCGCGGAAGGUUGUCCGGGUGUUGGAUGUCCCGGUCCUGUCUCUUA
rnacentral:rRNA from 1 species